rnacentral:rRNA from 1 species
UACCAGCUCUCCGAGUGGUAGGGAUGAUUAUUGGGCUUAAAGCGUCCGUAGCCGGCUUAGCAAGUUUCCUGUUAAAUUCAGCGACCUAAUCGUUGAGCCGCGGGAAAUACUACUAGGCUAGGAGGCGGGAGAGGUCGACGGUACCUCUGGGGUAGGGGUGAAAUCCUAUAGUCCCGGGAGGACCACCAGUGGCGGAGGCUGUCGACUAGAACGCGCUCGACGGUGAGGGACGAAAGCUGGGGGAGCGAACCGGAUUAGAUACCCGGGUAGUCCCAGCUGUAAACGAUGCGGGCUAGGUGUUGGGGUGGCUACGUGCCACUUCAGUGCCGCAGGGAAGCCAUUAAGCCCGCCGCCUGGGGAGUACGGCCGCAAGGCUGAAACUUAAAGGAAUUGGCGGGGGAGCACCACAAGGCGUGAAGCUUGCGGUUC